rnacentral:lncRNA from 1 species
AAAUUUAAAAUUUCAUAUACAAUUCCAUUUAUGUUUUAUCAUACAACAUUCAUUAACAAUUCAUCAAUUUAAUACAUAAUUUAUCAUGUUCCAACAAAAUCUCAUAUCAAUUGCAUAUAUCAAACAAGUCACGAAAUUCUCUAUUCUGGUCAAUUUAGUCCCUGUUUUAAUAUUCGAUCUGAAUCGCAUCAUUUUAGUUCAAGAAGUCAUCGAUACUCACAUCAAACUCUUUAUAAUGAAGAAUGAUAUAAAUAUGUAGCAAUUAAAAGAUUCUAGAAUCAUAGAAUUACAAAUAAAAAAUUCCAAGCUACUCAUUGACAACUUUGGAUUUUCC